CUUUUCGAGGUAGGAGUCGACUCCUGUGAGGUAUGGUGCUGGGUGCAGAUGCAGUGUGGCUCUGGAUAGCACCUUAUGGACAGUUGUGUCCCCAAGGAAGGAUGAGAAUAGCUACUGAAGUCCUAAAGAGCAAGCCUAACUCAAGCCAUUGGCACACAGGCAUUAGACAGAAAGCUGGAAGUUGAAAUGGUGGAGUCCAACUUGCCUGGACCAGCUUAAUGGUUCUGCUCCUGGUAACGUUUUUAUCCAUGGAUGACUUGCUUGGGUAAGGACAUGAAGACAGUUCCUGUCAUACCUUUUAAAGGUAUGGAGAGUCGGCUUGACUACACUGUGUGGAGCAAGUUUUAAAGAAGCAAAGGGUUUUUAAUGACCACAACAAGCAAGCAUGCAGCUUACUGCUUGAAAGGGUCUUGCCUCACCCAAGCUAGAGUGCAGUGGCCUUUGAAGCUUACUACAGCCUCAAACUUCUGGGCUCAAGUGAUCCUCAGCCUCCCAGUGGUCUUUGUAGACUGCCUGAUGGAGUCUCAUGGCACAAGAAGAUUAAAACAGUGUCUCCAAUUUUAAUAAAUUUUUGCAAUCCA
rnacentral:lncRNA from 1 species